rnacentral:rRNA from 1 species
GACAGAGGGUGCGAACGUUGUUCGGAAUUACUGGGCGUAAAGCGUGUGUAGGCGGCAGCGCAAGUCGGGCGUGAAAGCCCACGGCUCAACCGUGGAAGUGCACUCGAAACUGCGCAGCUAGAGUCCUGGAGAGGAAGGUGGAAUGCUUGGUGUAGAGGUGAAAUUCGUAGAUAUCAAGCGGAACACCGGUGGCGAAGGCGGGUCUCUGGGCAACUACUGACGCUGAGGUGCGAGAGCGUGGGGAGCGAACCGG